AGGACUUUCAUUAACUGUCAAUUAUGCACAGCUGCAGAGAGCGGCUUCCCUCUCUCAAACACUGCAGGGCCAGUCGCCUGCUCCAUAAGACUUUGUACCAUGCGUCAAUGAACCACACGGCGGUCGUACCUGCGCCAUGGUUUGGAGGAUCUGUUCGAAGCCGUCCGGGGAGGGGGCGUUGCUGUUGGCGUGCGGGACGGCGGAGGUGUCCGAGUAGGGAAGAUGGACGCCGUUGGGCUUCGCCGCCGCAACAUCGUUGGUCAGGUCUCUGCCGAGACAGGACGGGACGCUUUCCUGGAAGUCCUACGCAACGCAGGUAAGGUCUUGGCCUUGAACAGAACCCUCCUUGUUCAUAGUUGACCCUUUUUUUGGGGGGAAACACCCAACCCCAAACACUUGAGACAUCAUUGUACGCAGAAGGCAACAGGUGUCAAAAGGCAGAAUGGAAGCUCUAUCUGAGACGCAGUGAAUGGCAUCGGCUUGAAUUCACUCGGCCGGAGCACAGCGAGAGAAGAGGCCUGGUUACUACGACUAAAACAGUACAGUGUUUCCAUAAAGGCCAAUGAGAGAUAAGAUGUUAAUCUGUGCGAAACAUCAAGGAGCCUGAAUGUCAACAAGCCUAUACCGCCUACUUCAUGUUUUUUAAUAGAUAACAUUAAAAGGUUCAUAGAUCAGCUAAGAUCAAAUCCCGCUGUUAUGGAUUCAAGUGUAUCCGAGCUUAACAAGAAAGAACAUCAUUGCCGAGCUUUUUGUAUGAACCAUUUAAAAAAGAUGCCUUUUUGGUUUAAGAGUUGUUGUUUUUUCUUUUUCGAGUUUAAUUUGGGAUGGAGGCAUUGCGUGUACCUGAUCUAUUUAUAGUAAUUUCCUCUCCUAAAGUUAGACCUACACAAGACCCACAUUGUCAAUUAUCCACUGUUGUGGCAAAAUAAAUCUCCCAGUUGAUAAUGUUUGUGAUGAGCAAAACUAUUAUUCUAACGGUAUUGCAGGCCCACAGUGUAAUUGCAUGUUUAUAAGCAACAUAAACCCUAACUCAACCUCCAAUGACACGAAUUUAAUAGUUCCCACUAUAUACAAUGCUUUUAAAAUAGUUGACAUUCUAACUGUAGCCAAACU